rnacentral:ncRNA from 1 species
AUGAUUGUGCUCAGACCUUUCUCCUUCAGGAUCUUUACCCUUUCCUAAGACACAAGGUUUGGGCACUAAAAA